AUGAGUUGUUUGAGCUGGAACUGACAGGGGCUUAGGAACCCCGAGGCAGUUCAAGAACUUCGCAGUAUUGUGAAGUUAGAAGGACCCACUCUUCUCUUUGUAAUGGAAACAAAAAUUAGAGCAAAAAGAGUUGAUGAUUUGAAGCAUACACUAGGUUUUAGUGGAUGUUUUGCUGUAGACAGUGUUGGCCUUAGUGGCGACAUUGGUAUUUUCUGGUCUCGAGAUGUAACUGUUGAGUUAAAGAACUAUAGCCAAUGUCACAUUGAUGUGGGUGUCCAGAGUAAUAAUCAACAUUCGGCUUAUUGGCGCUUUACUGGUUUUUACGGAGCUCCGCGAGCAGAAGAUAGACAUCACAACUGGCAGUUCUUGCGUGCACUUCACAAUAUACCACAUGCAGCUUGGUUGAGCAUGGGGGAUUAUAAUGAGACGUUGUAUGCCUAUGAGCACUUUAGUAGAGCAGCGAAGUCUGAAAAUCAUAUGCGUGCUUUCAGGGAAGUUACCGAUGAGAUCUCUCUCCAAGACUUGGGCUGGUCUGGUACAAUCUAUACUUGGGAUAAUCAUUAG
rnacentral:rRNA from 1 species